rnacentral:rRNA from 1 species
AUUGAACGCUGGCGGCAUGCUUUACACAUGCAAGUCGAACGGCAGCGCGGGCUUCGGCCUGGCGGCGAGUGGCGAACGGGUGAGUAAUGCAUCGGAACGUGCCCAGUAGUGGGGGAUAGCCCGGCGAAAGCCGGAUUAAUACCGCAUACGACCUGAGGGUGAAAGCGGGGGACCGAAAGGCCUCGCGCUAUUGGAGCGGCCGAUGUCGGAUUAGCUAGUUGGUGGGGUAAAGGCUUACCAAGGCGACGAUCCGUAGCUGGUCUGAGAGGCCGACCAGCCACCGUGGGAGUGGAAACCGGCCCAGCCCCCUAGGGGGGGCAGCGGGGGGGAAUUUUGGAAAAUGGGGGCAACCCUGACCCAGCCAGGCCGGGGGGGGGAAGAAGGCCUUCGGGUUGUAAACCGUUUUUGUUGGGGAAAAAAUCCUCUGGGCUAAUACCCCGGGGGGAUGACGGUACCGGAAGAAAAAGCACCGGAUAACUACGU